rnacentral:lncRNA from 1 species
CGACGCCGGUGUCUGUUAUGACUUCACUCAGUCUCAGCUCCAGGUGGACCUUUCCCUGUACUUCUGAAUCGGCAUCAACGUGCUGGAGUUGAAACCAGGUGUCUCUGUUAUGAUACUUCUGCAGGUCUUCUUUCUGAAUAGCUACCUUUCCUAUGAUGGAAUCCCUUCGAAAAACAUCUCUGUCAAAAAUAUAAAAUGACAGAUGGCGAAAGGUCCGAGGAAUUUCACAGUAAAAGUCUUCUCCAUAGAAGGGGCAUAAUGACUUUUCCACGAUUUUGGUCCUGAAAACCUCCUCCUGGUCCAGGUUUACAGUACAGUAGCAAUCCCUCAUCUUGUUUGGCCCCGGGUACGUAGGAAGAUUUUUGGCUUCACCGAUUUUAAUCCUGACGCUCUGGAAGACCCGCAGCCCCUCUUCCUCCACCGCCAUGGUGCCGCCGCUCGGCAGCGCUCGGGCUCCUCCGCCGCGGACGCUGGUUGGGCCGUGCCGUGCCGGGCCGUGCCGUGCCGGGGUAGCGAGCUCCUUGCUGCGGACGAGCAGGCAGCGUGCGGCUCGCAGCGGGGCCACCAGCCAGCACCGAACGGAACAGAGCAGAGCGGAGCGCGGCGCAGCGCCCGCCUCCCGCCCCUAGCGCUGGCAGCGCCCGCCCCGCCGCCGCCCCCUCAUUGGUCAGAGGGCACCCGGCGGCAGCCGCUGCCUGCAGGGG